rnacentral:rRNA from 1 species
UAGGGAAUCUUCGGCAAUGGACGAAAGUCUGACCGAGCAACGCCGCGUGAGUGAAGAAGGUUUUCGGAUCGUAAAACUCUGUUGUUAGAGAAGAACAAGGACGUUAGUAACUGAACGUCCCCUGACGGUAUCUAACCAGAAAGCCACGGCUAACUACGUGCCAGCAGCCGCGGUAAUACGUAGGUGGCAAGCGUUGUCCGGAUUUAUUGGGCGUAAAGCGAGCGCAGGCGGUUUCUUAAGUCUGAUGUGAAAGCCCCCGGCUCAACCGGGGAGGGUCAUUGGAAACUGGGGUACUUGAGUGCAGAAGAGGAGAGUAGAAUUCCAUGUGUAGCGGUGAAAUGCGUAGUUAUAUGGAGGAACACCGGUGGCGAAGGCGGCUCUCUGGUCUGUAACUGACGCUGAGGCUCGAAAGCGUGGGGAGCAAACAGG